CCGCGGAGGGGCGGCCCGGGCUGAGCGCCGCCUGCGAAUGGCCGGGGGUGCCCGCCGCCCGGCCCUGGAUGGGCGCUGCUCGCGGACACGGGCGGGCUUCGGACGGAGGAAAACAAAACAAACAAACAAAAAACGCGAAAAAAAAAAAGAAAAACGCGGAAAAAAAAAAUACAACAGAAAGGAAAAAAGACAGACGUGUGCCUAUGAAUAACCUUCCAGCGCCUUGGUUAUAUCAGCUGUAUUUCAGCAUAGGGAAGUGCCGAGCCGUGCCGCCCCCUGGACGUUGUGCACAAGGACGGGGCCCCGAGCGGUGCGGGCCGGGCUGGGGCCGUGCCCCGCUCCCCCUCCCCCGGCCUUCAGAUUUUUUCCUUUCGACAUUUCUAUUUUUCAAGUAUUUUUCAGUAAGCGCUAUAAAAAAAAAAAAAAAAAAAAAAAAAAAUUAAAAAAAAUUAAAAAAAUCUCGACACUGAGGACCUGCCUAUUUCUGCCAACUUUAUAACUGUACAGUUUUGUAUAUUAAACGUUUUUUGGAAGUUAUUAAUUUAAAGAAAGAUCAUUUAGUUUAUUCAUUUAGUAACUGAUGUAUAAUAAACGCUAUUUUCAUUAAAGGUUGCUUUUUUCAACUAUUUUAUCCAAAAUUGCCUAUUGCAGUUGCCAACAAUUAUUUAUUUUCAAUAAAUUCCGCAUUAUGUUUAAAGAAAAAAAAAAAGUUUCAGAAAGAAAAACAAAAAAAAAAAAAAAAAAAAAAAAAAAAGAA